rnacentral:lncRNA from 1 species
GUGUCUUUCCUGGUGACUAGGAUGUCGUCGGAGGAGAACAAGUGCGUGGAGCAGCCGCAGCCACCACCCCCCGAGGAGCCUGGAGCCCCGGCCCCGAGCCCCCCAGCCGCAGACAAAAGACCUCGGGGCCGGCCUCGCAAGGCGCUUCCCCUUUCCAGAGAGCCAGAAAGAAAGUUAUGGAUUCACUACCAGAUUCUACUGUAUGCUCUGACAACUAUGACCACAAUGGCAGCAAGAUUAAGAAAAUUGUGCAUUCAAUUAUAUCAUCCUUUGCAUUUGGACUAUUUGGAGUUUUCCUGGUCUUACUGGAUGUCACUCUCGUCCUUGCCGACCUAAUUUUCACUGACAGCAAACUUUAUAUUCCUUCGGAGUAUCGUUCUAUUUCUCUAGCUAUUGCCUUAUUUUUUCUCAUGGAUGUUCUUCUUCGAGUAUUUGUAGAAGGGUGGAUUCUUGCUCUGUCACCCAGGCUGGAGCGUAAUGGCACAAUCUUCGCUCACUUCAACCUCUGCCUUCUGGGUUCGAGCAAUUCUCCUGCCUCAGCCUCCUGAGUAACUGGGAUUACAGGCGUGUACCACCACAUCUGGCUAAUUUUUGUAUUUUUAGUAGGGACGGUGUUUUACCAUAUUGGCCAGGCUGGUCUUGAGCUCCUGAACUCAAGUGAUCCACUCGCCUCAGCCUCCCAAAGUGCUGAGAUUACAGGCUUGAGCAACCUUGCCCAGCCAAAAGUAAACUUUUUAAUUCCAUCACAAUAUGUUCUAGAUCUUUGACAGACUGAAAGACAUAGAAUGUCAAAAGGUGAGACUCUCUCAUGUGGCUAAACACCCUCCUACUGCAGAUACAGAACUGAGCCCAAGAGCAUUCACAUGCUGGUGAGAGGUGGUGGCCAGGGGCAGGCAGAUGGUUGCACCACUCUCAGGGUCAGCAUCCUCCCCAGUGUGGCAUGGGGGAGGGGAGGGGAGGGGGCACGGGGCCUGGGAGGCUGUAGCCUAAAGGCACGCAGCGGGCAAGAGACUACUGGGCGGACCCCUGCCAGCCUUCAGUUCCAUGAGCGUCUGGUGCCAGGACGCUCCUUGUGGGCUCUGCCCUGGGAGAAGUGCCCUUGCCCAGUGCUCCUUCUCGGUGUCUGUGACGUGCUGUCUCCAGUCCUCCUCAUUAGCAUACCUUGGCCGACCUUUGGCUCAUGGAAAAACACUUUGCUCUUCUCGGAACAAUUUCUUUUUCACAACUGAGCAAAUGACUGAUGAGGUGACCACACUCAUGACCAUACUCAUCUGUUGGUGGUGGGUGGGGGGUGGACUGGAUGAGGACAGCAUUGGGCAACACUCUUUCUGGCCUCCCCACUGCAGGGAGCCACAAUUACUGUGGGAGGCCAGGGUAGUCCAGGGUUUCCCUUUGGGCCAUCAGCAUUCCAACUGCUCCUCCUACUUCUGGCCUCUGGAGAACUAAAUUACCACCAUGCACUUCCCAUUCCACCUGUGCCUCAGCCCGAGGGUCCUGCUCUUCCUGCAUAUUCAAGCUGAUCUUUCUAGGGAGUAGCCUGCACUGUGCCAGCACUACCCCCUUGUCACAGGCAGCACCUCCCUGUGCUGGGGGAGCCUCAGUCUGCCCUUGGGCUCAGGCCCCUAGGCUCAGGUUAGCUGACAUUCCCAGGAAAUCCUACAACUUCUCCUUUCCUUUCAUGGCUGUAAGACACAGUCCACUAUCAGUCUCAUUGUAAAAGACAUUUCUAAAGAGUGUCCUCCUUUCUUUCCCAACACUAGCAGGGACAGUAAGUGAUGUUUCCUGGGAGAUGCUAUGGUGUUAUUUUUGCACUACAAGGGCUCUGAAGACUGCCAGGCUUGAAAUGAAGAACGAUGUCACCUGCCUAUCACAGCCAGGUGACAAUGGACAAGGGGCUUCACCUCUGAGCUGUUUUCCAGCUGCACUGGGCACAUUCCUCCCCUCACCCUGACUCACAAGGUGUUAGCAAUAAUGGACACUUCUCUACCUUCUGCCACACUCUGAACAAUGCCACACUUCCAUCAAAUGGAUUCAUCCCAAAGGUAAAGCCCAUCACUUCUAGAGGGAGAAAGGUAAUGUUUUCCUACCACUUUUAUUUGAUCUCAUUUAGAAGGUACUUGAGGAAUAGAGAAGACUGGGUUUUCUCUGGGAUUAUACUUAGGCAUUUCUUAACGACUGGGACAUGUUCUGAAAAAUCUGUCAUUACACAAUUUCAUCAUUGUGCUAUCAUAGAGCAUACACACCCGACCCUAGAUGGCAUAGCCUACUCCACACCUAGGCUGUACAGUAUGGCCUGUUGCUCAAGGCUACACACCUGUACAGCAUGUUACUGUACUGGAUACUGUAGGCAACUGUAACACAGUGGUAUUUGUGUAUCUAAACGUAUAUAAACACAGAAAAGGUAUAGUAAAAGAUGGUAUAAUUUCAUGGGACCACCAUCCGAUACACCAUCCAUCACCAACAGAAACAUGGUUAUGAGGCACAGGACUGUAACUGCAGCCCCUGCCAUGAGGUCAAUGGCAGCCUGGAUAGGGGGAUUGGACUUCAUGUUUGCCCACUCUUCUGGUCUCAUGGAAGGCAGCUCUCUGGAGCUUAUGACAGGCACCACAUAUCCCUGGGGGGAGGCAAGAGUUCACCAUUAGUCCAAGUCUGCAGCCUCCCAUUCUCUAGGCCUGCAGCCAAAUUACUGGACCUAAACUUCUGGGAGCCAUGAACUGGGCUCUACAUUGUUCCAAAGGAAAGGGGCUCAAGGAAUCAGUGCAGCUUAGCAAUUGUCCCUUAGAAAGCUCACAGAUCAAAAACCUCCCCUGCGUAUCAAUUCUACAGCCACCAGCAGCACUUCAACUGACCUUUCUGAAAACUGAAAAAAUGAACACCAAAUAAGUCAACCACAGAUGUACUAACCCACAUCAGGCUUGCUUUUUUAGAGGCCUGCGCUGAGCCAUCAACUGAACAGGCUCACUUCUAAAUCAGAAAGCAGCCUGUGCUGCGUGCCUAAGGGAACGUCACAAGACAGUAGGUCUGGAAAGAAGCACCCAGGCAGCCAAGGGUGGGAGCUGCACCCCAGGAUCACAAACGCCUUGGUGAAUGCCUGCUCUACCUGCAGUGUGGCCCCUUUGGCCUCUACAGCUGGAAGUCUUCAUCUGUACAAAGUGAAUAAUAAAAAUAUUAUAAAACAAAGGCAGUCACAAAUAGCCACAUUGGUGUUGAGGUGAUCAAACCCAACACCAGGCCAUGGGGGCUACAAAGUCCGGCAGAGUCAAAGGAAUGAGACAAGCUAAUAGUACACAAAGUGGGUCCAGGGGGCCAAUGCUAGUAUAGAGGCUGUGAAGGCCCUGAACUCUGGGAGCCCACACCAUUUAUUGGAGAUUAAACAAAGAAGCAGGUGGUGAGGACGUGCUGGUCAAAAGGAAGCAGUCACAUCAAGUGUUUAGUUUAUAGCUGUGUCGGUCUAGCAUUUUCUUUGAAGCAUAUGGAACAUGUUCUGCUACUCGAGAUAAUGAACAUUUCCUUCUGCCUCAAGGUACAAUCAGUUUAUGAUCCUGGGAGAGCAAGAAGCAAGGAGCCAGCAAGUCUGGACACAUUCCAGAGGCCACGAGGGGUUUUAUGUCCUGAGUCCUGGAUUCCAUCCAAGCCAUGAGGGGUUUUAUGCCCUAGGCUUAGGUUGUAGUGCGGCGGGGCAGCCUUCCACCCUUAAGCACAGAACCUGGUGUUCCAUAGGCCACAAGAAGUUUUAAACUCUGGACCCAGGACAUGUUCCAAGGCUCUUUUCAUAUUAUGUCAGACUAGCAAGUCUUGCCUCAGCUUUUCUCCCAACAAUUGGACUGAUGGGUUGCUCCACUGGGCACAAGCAUCAUGGGUUCUUAAAACAAGGCCCUGAACAAGCACCAAAUAUGUUCCUGUCACCACACUCCACUAGCCCUUCAACUAUAAACAUGCAUAGGAGUCACCUGGGGGCCUUGCUAAAUAAAAUGCAGCUUCUGAUUCAAUAGUCUCAAACAGGACCAGAGAUUCUGCGUCUCUUGUUGAGUUCCCGAGUGAGGCAGACAAUGCCAGUCCACAGACUCACAUUUUGAGAUACAGCACCUGGGCCAUUGUGUUCCAAUGUGCUUGAUAACCUGGAGCACCUAUUAAAUAUCCAAGUUGCCAGGACUUUCUUCUGGAAAUCUUAAUUCAGUAUGUUUUGUUUGGAGCCUUGGACGUUUGGGAAAACUAGAAUUUCUUUCUCUCCCUUUAGACAAAAGUCAACUACUGCUGAGGCAUGGGCUUAAUAAAUGUUGACUAAAAUAUCCAACUCAACAACCAAUCCUGUAUAAUUUUCAAACUCUGUCAAUAACUUGCUGGGUCCAACCUGCAGACCCUGGCUGCGUGAUGGAUGAAGAAAUGCACUCAGACACAGGUAUCCUGUGAAAGAAUGGGGUAGGGGACUGGGCAGCUCCCAGACACUGAGGAGGGUGCUAUAAAGAGUCAGCAGGUGCUAUAAAGAGUCACCAGGCACAGCCCUGUCAGGCUGGGGCUCCAGGCAUUUAUUCAGUACAGAUUUAAUGACAAAGUUCUCAAGUAAACACCACACCACUAGAGGGUAAUUAACAUUGCUGACCUCCUGAGUAGAGAGCAGUCAUGCGCCCGCAAAUGAUCAAAGGUCUGUUUUAGGACCACAUGAGUAAACAAGCUAUUUAGAUAAACUUCUCUACAUUCCUAUGUAUCUACGCCCUAAGCUUUUAAGAGAAUUCAGCUGCCUUCAGCCAAAUCUUUUACUGAAGGUAUGCAAACCUCCCAGCCUUCCAAGAAGUUUUGUGUCUAUCUCCUACAACUUAAUUUUUAUAAUUUCUCCCACCACCCUGACAGAUCCCCUACAAAAGACCAUGUUUCUUCUCAGCUUGCUCAGUCCAGCUGAGCCAGCUUUCCACUGGACUCCUGAAUGUGAGAAGGACACAGGCUCCCAGGACCAUCCAGAAGCAUCUCUCAUCACCUUAAAGCUCUGAAACACUGGCUGGGUGCAGAGGCUCACACAAGUAAUCCCAACACAUUAAGAGGCUGAGGUGGGAGGAUUGCUUGAGGCCAGGAAUUCAAGACCAGCCUAGGCAGCAUAGCAAGACCCCAUCUCUACAAAAAGUACACCCCAAAAUUACCUGGGUGUGGUGGCACAUGCCUAUAGUCUCAAUUAGGAGGCUGAGGUGGGACUAUUCUUUGAUCCCAGGAGUUUGAGGCUGCAGUGGGGUAUGAUCGCACCACCGCACUCCAGCCUGGGAGACAGAUUGAGACCAUCUCUAAAACAACAACAGGCCAGGUGCUGUGGCUUAUGCCUGUAAUCCCAGCAAUUUGGGAGGCCGAGGCAGGUGGAUCACCUGAGAUCAGGAGUUCGAGACCAGCCUGGGCAACCUGGUGAAAUCCUGUCUCUACUAAAAAUACAAAAAUUUAGCAGGGCAUGGUGGCACACACCUGUAAUCCCAGCUACUCGGGAGGCCGAGGCAGGAGCAUUGCUUGUACCCAGGAGGCAGAGAUUGCAGUGAGCUGAGAUCACGCCAUUGCACUCCAGUCUGAGCAACAAGAGCAAAACUUCGUCUCAAAAAAAUAAAAAAUUAAAAAAUAACAAAAAAUGAGACAGAAAACAAAUAUUUUGUUUCAUUAUUGCUUGUUAGUUGAUUAAAGUAAUUCUGCUUCCACUUUAUUUUCAAAGACACUAAUUGCUACACUGAAUAAAACCUUAAUGGAGUUUCAUUAU